rnacentral:rRNA from 1 species
GACGAACGCUGGCGGCGUGCUUAACACAUGCAAGUCGAACGAUGAAGCUGGAGCUUGCUCCGGUGGAUUAGUGGCGAACGGGUGAGUAACACGUGAGAAAUCUGCCCUUGACUCUGGAAUAACUGCGGGAAACUGUAGCUAAUACCGGAUAUUUUCCUUGGUGGGCAUCCACUGGGGAAGAAAGAAUUUCGGUCAAGGAUGAUCUCGCGGCCUAUCAGCUAGUUGGUGAGGUAAUGGCUCACCAAGGCGACGACGGGUAGCCGGCCUGAGAGGGUGACCGGCCACACUGGGACUGGGACACGGCCCAGACUCCUACGGGAGGCAGCAGUGGGGAAUAUUGCACAAUGGGCGCAAGCCUGAUGCAGCAACGCCGCGUGAGGGAUGAAGGCCUUCGGGUUGUAAACCUCUUUUAGCAGGGAAGAAGCGAAAGUGACGGUACCUGCAGAAAAAGCACCGGCUAACUACGUGCCAGCCGCCGCAGUAA